rnacentral:rRNA from 1 species
GACAGAGGGUGCAAACGUUGUUCGGAAUUACUGGGCGUAAAGCGCGUGUAGGCGGCUCGGCAAGUCGGGUGUGAAAGCCCUGGGCUUAACCUAGGAAGUGCACUCGAAACUGCCAAGCUUGAGUUCUGGAGAGGAAGGCGGAAUUCUCGGUGUAGAGGUGAAAUUCGUAGAUAUCGAGAGGAACACCGGUGGCGAAGGCGGCCUUCUGGACCAGCAACUGACGCUGAGACGCGAAAGCGUUGGGGAGCAA